rnacentral:tRNA from 1 species
GAUGAUGGCUCAGUGGUAGAGUAUUUGCCUAGCAUGUAUGAGGCACUGGGUUCAAUUCUCAGCACCA